CGUCGGUCGUGUCGUCAUACAAUCUCUCGAUUUUACAUGCCCGAUGGACUAUUGAAAUCGAAAACGAUUACGUUUCGGUUCGGUCUGGGCCUCAGACUGGGUCUGAGGGUUGAAGCACGAAAGCAUAUGCCCUUUGACGAGUACGAAUACAAAUACAGAUACUGGGGCAAAUAAUAGGUGUUCUAUUUGAGGGCGGCGGAGAGACAUUACACAGGACACAGGCUGCCAUGCCAUUGCCGUGCUGAAGUCGUGCUGGUGGCAGUGAUGGCCUUUUGUUUACACGUACAACAUCAUGCAUAUUUAAUUGGGUUAAAUUGCUUGACGAUUAACGUUUAACGCGUAUCCAUGGAAAUAUUGAAUAUGCGGAACUAACGCUUCGUCUCCAUCAGAAACUUCUGGCUAAUUUGUGAUUAAUAUGUACAGGACAGGUCCCGCCAUAUAUUUUGCAAUACAUGUAUUUUAACCCGCUUAGAUUAAGAAAAACAUUUUUUUAGGGGCAAUCCAUCAGACGUUAAAAAUCCAUAAAAGUUUACAGGUAGAUCGUUCUCAUGACACCUGUUCGAGAAAAGUGUUUUUUCUUAUUAAAAUUUUCCUCAAUCCAAUCGCAAGUUAUUUGAGUACAUACGAUUAUCAUUGAUGAUUGUGCGAUAGUGGCAGUCUCAUAUUUUGCAAAAGUUCGGCUCCACGUAUCAUUCAGUUUUAGGAGGUCGAAAAUUUGAAGCAAACUUGAUCCUAGUGUGUAAUCACACACUACAUUAUCCAGUUUCAAUAGUCUCGGCGAUCUAUGCACUCAUCAAUAUGGAAAGACGGACAGAUUAAUGACUGUCGAUACGGAUAUUGAUGCUGAUCAAGAAGGUAAUCGGUUAUAUUUUAUGGGAUAAUUUGGAAAUUAUGGAAAUGAAUUAUUCUGGAUCUAGCCCUUUUGUAAUUUAAAUACAUCUCUGGGUACAUCCGUUGAGAAGCGAUAUAAAAACGUAUUAGGUUCGGCUCGACAUCCUUGUUUAAAGACGAUUUUCUGUACUCAAAUCGACACAAUAUGUUGAUAGUAUAGUAAGUUAUUCUGCGACCGAAUGUGACCAAGCAACAUCCACUGUAUUCAUAGUUCAAUAGUCUAUACAUAUUUUUGGAUCAUUCAUAAUUUGCUGAAGAUAUUUCCUCAACGGCUGCCAGCCCCUAUUUUCCCAACCCAACUCUUAUGGAGAUUUGGGGCUCGCUGAAUAUUUUGUCGAUAUGUGUACUAAGCUAAGUCAAUAGUUUAUUCUGUUUUCCAAUUAUCAACGUUAUCAACGGACGUCACUGAAAAUCAGAAUUUAUUCAUUUCUAGACUGCGCCAAAUAACAUACUUUAUAAAAUAUACGCUAUAUAAUAAAGGAAAUUGAGAUUGAUUGAGAUUUGACCCUUGGUUUAUAAACGUUUUUUCUAAAUGGUAGCCACGAGUAUAUAAGAUAAAAUGCUAGAUUUGUAUAACUUUAGAUUGCACUAUGUACAAACAGGACGGGAAGAAAAUAAGUUUAAGAAAUAAAUGGAAUGUAGUCCUUUCAUUCGAUUAUUCUUAUUGCCGCUAUAUGAUAUAUAUAUAUAAUAUAGAUAAUUUGGUCUGAUCCGGCCGAUUUCCGCCAAUAAUUUUCCUAUACAAGGGAAAAAACUAUGUUAAGUAUGUAGCACUAGGAAAGAAAAUAAAUAAAAAUAAAAUAAAUUUAGC